rnacentral:lncRNA from 1 species
GCGGAGGAAGCUUUGAGUGAAUUAAAGAAGAGGGAGAUGGAGUUGGAGGUGAGGAAGGAGGAGUUGUUGAAGAAGGUUGAUGAAGGUGAGAAGACGCUGCUUGUGUUGAACGAGAGGAUCAUGGAGGAGCCUACUACUAAUGGAGUCAGAGACAUAAAGGAUUGUGACCAAGAAUGUUUACAGUUGCAGUGGCCAGUGGUUGCUGCUGGUUCGGUGGGAGCUUUGGGUUUGGUAGCAGCGACAGUGUUUGUUGUAUGCUACUCAAAACGGACUUGAUUCAGUAAUAUUGAGGAGCUGAAGACCAUAACUUUUUUGCAGUUCUGCAUUCAUAUAGGUGCCCCAUAACUUUUUGGUCUCUGAGUUUGUGAUGUUUUUGUUUACUUGAUAUGUUUUGUUUGUUUGAGAUGAUUGAUGAAUCUUUGGCUUUUAGGCUAUGAAUGCAUUUGAUAUCGCUUUGUCAUCACAACUAACUGUUUCUGAAUUAUAAAGAUAGACUUGUUGCUAAUAGAUUGUUUGACAGUACAGAACAUGAACAACAUACUAUUAUAAACCAUGAUGUGAUCAUGUGAUGGUUACUAGAAUAUGUCACAUGUCUAAUUUCUAUGAACAUGUGGCUCUGAGCUCUGGGUGUAGUGCACUAGUGCUUAUGUUCCUAUUCCUUAUUUUCUGCAAAUAUACAUUCAUUGUAGAUUAGGAUUAGGUACCAGACCAUAGUCUCUAGGUGAACUUGUUCUCGUACCUGUAUUCUAUGGAUCAUCAGCCCGGAGAAGCUCAAGGAGUCCGCAGCAGUUCCUCCACGAAGUUAGUUGCUGCACGGGUUGGUUAAGGCGCAGUAGAGGCAUCUGAAAAAAGAAAACAUAGGCUAGUGUCUUAGUAAACAAACGAGAAUAGCUAGAGCUACAACAACUUAUUGUUGCGUAUAGAGAGAGAGAUUUGUUGUUUGCUUGUUUAGGGUUGAGUUAACCUGGUUCUCAUCUUUAGGUAGAUGAGCAGGUUCUUCCACAUGAGCUGAAACAGGUAAGGACCCGUCAAAGUAAUAACUGGAAAGGUCAGAGUCACUGGAUGAGUCAACACUAUCCUCUUUUGAAUCUGAUGAUGACCUGACUCCUUCAAGUAUUACAGAAAAAUCCAAAUCCUCUGCGCCUGGACCGGAGAUCUCGCUGGUAUCAGUCAUACUAUGAAACUCUACGUUUGUUUGUUCUGUUUUAGCAGGAGUGUCUUCAGGGAACUGUAGUACCAUCUCUUCAGAUUUGUUCGGAUAUGGAAAGUUGUUGGUCUUGGCUACCUUUGGUCUCAGGCUGCUACUACGUCUAAAAAGCUCUAGAACCUCCUCGUCUUCCAUUUCAUACUCACUGACAUCAUGAUCUUCAAAGUUAGCCGUCUGUGAGUUAGAUGGACCCGUGGAGCCUUCUUCUGUGAUCCUUUCAUCUUCCUUAACAUUCCUCGUCUCCUCAGUUGAGUUGCUUGCUUCUCCAAUGGUCUUCUCCUCGUCUUCACCUACUUUUUCCAUCUCUCUUCUGGUAUGCUUCAGCUCUCUCUCUCUUUCCUUCUUUGUUCUGUUUCUGCGUUCACAAACUCAAGCUAUCUAGAAGGUCGCUUCAUAUGUUUAGUUGCAACGUCAUCGUUCAAACAACGAAUGCAAAGUACCAAAUAUAUGAACCAAAGAAGAAAAUAAAGAAGAUAAAAAAAGUAAAAAAAUAUUGGGAAGUUUGAAGAGUAGGUGAGAGGACAAAAGGAAUGGUUGAUGGACUAAAGUAGCAGAUGUGCACACAGUUGUCUUGACUAGUUGGUUCGCUGUUGUCAUGACAGUUUUCAAAGAUAGCUACUCUUACAAACAGAACAUAAAAAAAUUCAUUUAGUCAAUAAAUUGAAUCAGUUUCACAUAUAUUGGUUUAGUUUCUGUCCAUAGUUUAUGAAAGACAGGAUGAGUCUUCCGUCCUCUUCCGGAACUCUGUGUUUCAAACGAACAAGUAUUUGUUUUUGAAUUUAGCAUACCAUACAGACUACAACAAACUCAUGGCUCUAGUCUAUCAUAAUGACACCUUGGGGGAAAUUUUGAUAGGCAUUCCUAGUGAUGGAAACGGGAGAGGAUCCAUGCUGAUUGUCUCAUCAGGAUAGACCAAGGACCAAUCAUAACUUGUCACAACAAAAUGCAAGAAAACGAGGAUGCUGACUUUUGCUAGCUGGUGACCUGCACAAAGCCUUGGUCCUCCUCCAAAUGGAAGAUAUGUAUAUGCUUGUACCGCCUUAUCAAACCUUGAAGGAUUAAAACUCAUUGGAUCUUCAAAAAUCUCAGGAUUGUAAUGAGUUCCAUAAGUUGUCCACAGUACCUGCACUCAAAAACAAAGUAUUACAUUAGUAUUUAUUUCUUGAUUUAAAAACUGAAAAGAUCUAUAUAUAGAGAUGAUGCUGCUUCACCUUCCAGCCUUUUGGGAUAGUGAAUCCUCCAUAGUUGAUAUCAACAACUGCUUUUCUGAAGGAACCAAAGAUUGGAGGUGAUAAUCUCAUUGUUUCACGAACAACUUGCCAGCUAUACUUCAUCUUCUUCACAUCUUCAACCGUGAGGUACUCUCCUUCCCCUUUGUUUGCUUUUAUUUGAACAUGUUCUGAGAUGAAAUCAAGAGAGUUGAGUAUGAUUUUUUUUUUUUUUUUUGCUGAAUUAUGUUUUGUUUGUUACCUUUAAGGAGAGUGUCAAGGCAAGUUGGAUGCUGAGCCAACAUCUUGAAAGUCAUGGCCAUGGCGUAAGAGGUUGUGUCAUGAGCUGCAAACACUAGCAAAACCAUAUUGUCUACAACCUCUUCUUCGGUUAUGUCUCCUUUGAUCAAUCCUUGUACUAGCCUUGAGAAUAGUGUUGUGUUUGGUCUCUCAGCUUCUUCUUCUUCUUGUUCCAUUUCUCUUCUCUUCUCUCUGACUUUCUCAACUAGCAAUGUCUCAAUCUCUAGCCUAGCUUUCUUCGCUCUAGCAAACCUAGAACAAGGAAACUCAACAGGCAAAGCGAAAACUCCUUCAAGAACCCUCUCAAAGAUCUCUAACAUCCCAAGCUCCACUUUGAUCCCAUACAAACACUCAAAGACCACAGUAAACGUUAGAGCUUUUGUGGAACGGUAGAGACUAAUCUCUUCCUUGCCUCGCCAUUGGGUUUCAAGAUGAGACCGGACAGUGUCACAUAGGUUAGGUAAUAAGGACUCUAACCCAUUGUAGCUAAGGCUAUUAGCUACAAUCCCUCUAAGGACUCUAUGCUUCUCGCCUUGCUUAGCCAUGAUGCAGUUCAUGCCCAUUAGCUGAACAGAAGAAGAAGGCCAUGAGCUCACCACUAAGCUAAACUCGUUAGAUAAUAUUAGCCUAUUGGCUUCAGCUCCAUUGACUACUAUUGUUGGUGAUCCCAUGAUUUUUGUCUUGAAGAGGUUGCCAUGUUUGAUGAUUCUUGGAUUCACGAAAUCUUCAAACACUCUGUUGUUUUUCUGAGCUUUGUAGAACUCCAUUGUUUCACCUAUCCAUGGAAGCCCCAUUUCUCCAGGGGGAAGCUUCUUCUUGGGCUGCUGCAGCUUCUUUGAUCUGAACUUGUGCUGUUUCUUGCGGAAGAAGAAAAGUGUGCUGGAGAUUGUUGCAGCUAUGCAUAGGAAGAUCCAUGAGAGAAGGAAGUUUGGUUCUAGAGCCAUUUUGUUUUUGUUUGGUUACUUAAUUAACCAAUUGUUAAUAAUCAAGUUUUGCAAAAACCUGGAUUAUGAGCUGAGUAUUUAUAAGUGGAGAUUUUUUUUUGUGAAUGUUAAGGUCAAACCAAGUGAUAUUAUUCUAGUUUUUUUCUUUGUUUUUAGACUUUUUAUUCUUCUUUGGGGGUGGCUCUGACACAUGAUUGAUCUUCAAGAUACAGUUCCUUAAGAGCUCAGGCUGCACUAUCUUUUUCAUUUUUAAUACAACAGACGGUGACACUAAACAUGUUAUGCAGCUGCAUAUACACAUGUAUUAAGGUGAUUAUGGAAUUAAAUAUGAAUAUAACUCAUGUUUCAUUACAUAAUAGAAAUCAUUAUUGAAGUAAUAGUUUUUUUUUGUAACUGAGGCUUUCAAAUUGAAGUAAUAGUUACCCUAUUGAAAUUGGUCUGGCUCAUUUUCUCUAUAGACUAAAGUAGUGAAUCUUCAAAGAAACUAGUAUUUCCAUAGCAUGUAGUAUGUUCUUUACAUUAAACAGAAAAUUUUGAUAAACAAAUCCAAUACUUUUCCUGAGAAAAAAAAAAAAAGAGAAAAUGUUUUAUAUACUGACAGUAUCAAAGAACGGCUAGUUGGUGGAAAAAGAAAAAUUAUUGCUAAAACAUUGCUAGAUUUAUUGGUCUAUGCCAUAUGGAAAUAAUGUAUCUUCGCAUCUCUAAAAAUUUAGCAAUUCAUCUUUGUAGAUCUACUAUAUAUGUGUAUUAUCUAUCUACAAAUAAUUUAGAUCUAAAUAUAUUAGUUAAAUUUACAAUACAACUAACAAAAUUAUUUCUUAACAACUAAACAACUAUAGGUUGACUUUUUAAUGUAUUUUCUUGUUUUUAUUGAAUUUUGGGUGAGACAGAAAGAGAGACAGUUGCAUGUGCUUGGGAGUUGGAAUAUGCUAUAACCAAGACUGUGAAUGAAUGUAUAACAUAUGAAUCUGAUCCGCAUAAUCUCCCUCUUAAAUAAUUUCAUAAUAUUUUAUAUUCAUGUGUUCAUAAUAAUAGCACAGUAUAGUUUAAACACACUUGCUGACGAAAUGUUCCAUUAGAUUUAUAGCAUUACUGGGAAAAUGAGAUUAUACGCGAAUCCCUAAAGAUCUGCUGUGGCCGGCUGCUUCUGUUAUGUCCAAGUUACGUUGCAAACUGCGCGGGUUAAUCGAAUUAUUCAUCACAUUUUAAGGUUUCUAGUACGUGCAUAAGAUUAGUUCUUUGUGUACACUUUAGGGAGUUUAUCACGCUCGAACGUUACAUUAUUCUCAAACUGAUAAACUGUAUGUACAUUAUUGGUUGAUUCUUGAAAUUUAAGCACUUAAUUUUUCUUGGCAUUGUUCAUGCAUCUAAGAUAAAAUUAUAUGUUUGAUAGGAGAAAGGAUAGUUUAGAAUAAGUAAAUAACGAAUAACUGGUUAGGAAGUCGCUUUUAAGAGAUUCCUUCUUAAUAUAUAGUGCAUGUAUGAGCAAUAUCAAAAGAAUUUAAAAGGGUUUCCUAACCUUGUAGCGGCACUAAGCAUAUAUGAUGCUACUUUACGUCGUCGGUUUGCAGAACAAAGUAAUUAACAUUAAAAAAAAAGAGUCUUAGUUGAAUUAUUCACAUUAGGCGAUUAUCUUAAGCUGUGAUUUGUCUUGUAAACCUAUUAUUAGAAGAGUAGGAGCCGCAAGAAAAGGUGAUGAUGAUGAUGGUUGACAUUGACAACAACAAUUAUACAACGUGAUGAUGGUCGACAAUCAUCAUCAACGGUAUUGUUAUAUCUAUGAUCAGUUAGCAAACCCUACUAAAAUUACAUAUUUAAUAAUUCAAAACGUUUUACUCGAAAAAUGCAAUUAUAACUUCUGCAUACAGUUAGGCACAAACAUAUUAUUUGCAUGUGUAUAUUAUAAGUAUAUAGACUUUGAUUCCUUGAAUGGUCGGGGAUUUAAUUUAGUACGUUUGGUUAGUUGGAUCGCUUUGAACGCUUCGAGUUAAACUGGUCUGUAUGUGUGUUGCUGCCCUAGUUUUUGGAGUGAUUCAGAUUGAACCGUUCUAACCAUUAGUGGAAAUCACCAAACUGUAUCCUAUCAAAGUUGAUUUUACCAUUUGCCAUUUCUGAUGGAUUACACCGCUUUAACAACAUCGACAUACGGGGAGAUGCUUGUUUCUCACAAUAACUCAGUUACCUUUCUAUUGCUUUGGCCUAUGAGUCAACUAAUGCAUACACAUUACAAGUCUGUAGUCUUCUAAGCCUAAUACAAUAAGAGAAGAAGAUAAGUAUGCGAAUAUAUUCUGUAUUUAUCCUAAUAAAGAAACAAAUCAUCUACCGUAUAAGACAUCUCUAAGUGUCAACGGACUUGAAAUGAUAUACCAACUAACAGACUUUCAAAUGUCACUUUUUGGCUCUUGCGUAUAUUUCUCAAAACCGGAAUAUUUAAUUAGUAUUGGAAAUGUAAAUGAUGAUUUUAUUUUAGUUUAUUUUCAAAGUUACACAUGUCAUACCGUAACAUCACAAUGGGAUAAUGUUUAUUCACGUGGUGUCUAGUGUCUAAGUGGGUGAAGGACGCUAAUCAUGAGUUUGUACUAAUUAACAAACCCGUAAUUCCCAUGGCCCUAAUCAAAAUAUGUCGGACGCGACAAUAUAUAUUGUGUCCGGGUCCUUAGUUAAGCCAUUUGCUUUGGGAACCUAGCUCCUAAAUUCAAUUUAAUCCUGAAAGAAGAGCAUUCAACCAAUAAAUUUUAAAAUAAAUAUAUGUAGUUAAUUAGAAAAGCAAUCACUAAUUUAAAUAUCAAAUGGCAUUAGCGGAAAAACAGUUUGUCGUUUGUUAAUCUAAAGUGAAUAGAAGAAAAAAACCAAUCGAUGUUGUAGAUGGGUUUGAACUGAAAUGGUGGAAAAGUGGUUGAGUAGAGUUUUAUGAGUUCACUACCAUAAUAAUAAGAAAAUAAUCCCAAAUGCAAACUCCAAAUAACUUCAAAUAUAAAAACAAGUCCUAACAAAUUAAUCAGAUCACAAUAGUAAAAGAAAAUGCAGAAGCCAGCGAACCUAUACAGUAAGAGAAGUGAAUUAUUUUGUGAAGCAUCAACAUAAAUGGUUAUAAUUCUCAGACCCACCUAAACCUACACAUUAUUACUACAAUUUUUAUCUUUCGUUUGAUCUUUUGUUUUUCAUAUUUUUCAGUCUCUAAUCAAUUUUUUUUCAUCUCCUCUUAUUUCUUCUUGUGGGUCCUCUUCUCCCUGACCAGUGACCUCUGUGCAUCUCCACGUUUUACUAAUAGCUUUGCUGUAUCUACUGUUACCACUCUUAUUAUUACUCAAACUUAAAUGUCACUUAAAUGCAAACUAUAUAUUUAGGUGAAAACCAAAUCAAAUAGCAAUAAAAAAACACUAAGCACACCAAUGAUUUAUGUCCUGUCCACAAGUCGAGAAGAGUCAAGUGACCUUAGCUUGUCUUCUCUUUUAACGUCAGGCGACUACUAAUUUAAGUAUCUCCUUAACUAAAUCUUAGAGAAGCACAAAGACAAAGGGUCUACGUUAAGUCUACCUAGAUUCUUGAUUAGAGGCUUGCCCUACAUUGUAAUCACUCAUAAGAGUGGAAACUUACUUGGGAUUAAUUAGGUUCACAUGAUACCAGAGCUAGCUUGCAUUUUCAGAUACAAAUGUGAAAGGUGUCAUGCAAUAAAACAUAAGCAAAUGUGCAAAAAAAAAAAAAAUAUAAGCAACGUACUGAGUUUAAUGAAAAAACGUAAACAGUAAUACGGAUAGCGAGAUAAAUCAUUCAUAUGGGAGACAGCUUCUCAUACGCGUCCAUGCCUUUGCAUGAAAAAUUAACUUUGACUCUUCUUUCUAGUAUUUUGUUUUCUUGUUUUAAUUGUGAUUCAGAAUUCCAAGUGUUAUUGCAAUCACUAGGGGUAAUAAAUGGGAUAGUAUAAAUGCACCUGCAACAUAUCAACUAACCACACACAACUCCACCUGUUUGUAUUUACUUCAAAAACAUUCAAAAACCCUUUGCUUCCCUCUAUUUAUAAAUCCUAGUUUCCGGUUUCAUUCUACCACACAACACCAUUUGCACAAACACUUCUGCUUUCUCUUUGUUUUAAAAAUGAGAGGGAUGAAGAAUCUUACCAUUUGGGCUGUCUUUGUUGCUUUACUCUCCCAGCAGCUGUUUGCUUCUGUUGCUUCCAUAAAGUUUGAGGAUAAGAAAACAUACUACUCUCCUCCGGACCCCAAUGCAGGAUCUCCUCCCUCUGGUAAGCAAAAAAAAAAAAAACACAUACACACAUGCACUCCCAACUUUGUAUGCAUUAAUAAGAAUCUUGAUUUUAGUAUUUUUACUUGACUGAUCAUUGUUAUUGUGUGACAUGCAGGAACUCCUCCAUCACACGGAGGAUACACUCCAACCCCUUCAACUCCAUCACAUACCCCUCCUUCUAACUGUGGAAGUCCACCUUACGACCCAAGUCCUCCAUCUCACACUCCAACUCCUUCUACUCCAUCUCACACUCCUUCAACUCCAUCUCACACUCCCUCAACUCCUUCUCAUACUCCAACUCCUUCGACUCCAUCUCACACACCAACUCCAUCACACACUAGUCCUCCUUGCCACUGUGGAACUCCACCUUCACACCCUUCCACACCUUCACGGCCUUCAAGGCCUUCACACCCAUCCAGGCCUUCACGCCCUUCCACGCCUUCAAAUCCUCCUUCUGGUGGAUACUACUCAUCUCCUCCACCAAGUACUCCUGUCGUUGUGACGCCACCAACACCCAUUGUUGACCCAGGCACACCCAGUACUGGAGGAACCCCUCCUUCUUCUGGUGGAUAUUACUCAUCUCCUCCACCAAGUACUCCAGUCGUUGAGACUCCACCAACACCUAUUGUUGACCCAGGCACACCCAUCGUUGGAGAAACCCCACCAACUCCUUCUUCUGGUGGAUAUUACUCAUCUCCUCCACCAAGUACUCCAGUCAUUGAGACUCCACCAACACCCAUUGUUGACCCAGGCACACCCAUCAUUGGAGGAACCCCACCAACUCCUUUCAUUGACCCUGGCACUCCUGGAACCCCCUUCCUUCCUGCUCCUUUUCCACCAAUCACUGGAACAUGCGAGUA